UUCUGAAAUAAUCGAAACGAGAAUCAAAGGAAAGGGAACAAGUAUCAAUCAUCCAUCAAAUGUUCUUGGCACUUAGGUUAAUAUGGUGUCUGAUGAAUCAUCUAUUCAUAAAAAGUCAGAUAAAAGUUUAGAAAAUAAAAAAAGAAAACAUAGCAAGAAAGAGAAAAAAAAGAGCAAGAAGAAGAAGAAAAAGAAACGUAAUACCUCAAGUUCAAGUGAUAGUAGUACUGGCAGUGAUAAUGAAGUUUGGGUUGAAAAAACUAUUGAAACAAUACAAUCUGUACAAAAUACUGUUACUGAUAAUAUUGAAAAAGAACCUGUUAAAAGAGAGGAAUGGAUGACACUUGGAAAUUUAUUUCCAUGUAUAUCUAAGUCUGAUAUACAAAGUAAUAAGCAUGAAUUACAGAAAAAAGAUAAUAAUAUUUCGUCGAUUCUUGAUAAGCCAGGACAAAGUAAUAAAGAAUUAAAUCCAUAUUGGAAAGAUGGUGGUACUGGUUUACCUCGAAAUGAACCUGAAAAAUCAUUCAAUAAGAAAGUAAUGGAUCCUGUUUGGUUAAAAAGAUCAUUGCAACGUGCACGAGAACAAGCUUUAGAAGAAGGAAAAUCUUUAGAAGAAAUAGCUGCUGAAAGAUGGGGUUCUUUAGAAACUAUAAAUGCAAUGAUAGCAGAAGCUGAUCAAUCAUGUUCUAAAUAUAAUCAAAAAAAUUCUCAACGAAAUCGUGUCCCUUAUGAAAGACGUUAUUAUGAUAAAUACUCUAAUAGGCACAGAGAAUCAGAACAAGAUCAUUCAUCUUAUAGAUCAAGAAAUUUUGAUCGUGAACAAAAGUAUGAAUCUUAUAGAUCUGACAGAUCAUCACGUAAACCAAAUUAUCAAAAGCCUACAGAUGAUGGUGAUCGUCAUUACACAUCAGCUUUGAGUAAAUCAAAUUCGCAUAGUCAAAGAAAUUGGCAAAAAGAUAAUGGUAAAAGUAAAAAACAAUUAGAAUCAAAUGUAGAAAUAAUUAAUGAAGAAAUUUCGAAAAAGGACAACAAAGUUUUUGACAUUAACACACAAUCAAAUGAUAUUUUAACCAAAGAAGAAAUGAAUAAAUUGGGAGCAAAAAUUAUAAAAGCUGAAUUAAUGGGUGAUAACGAAUUAGCAAAUCAUUUAAAGGAACAAUUAGAAAAAGCAAGAGAACAUUCUAAUCAAGCAAAUAAAUCUGAAACAGAAAACGUCAUUCUUUCAAGAACUGAUUCAAAAGGUGUUACAAGACCAAUACAACCAAGAUGUCAAUCUAAAGAAUCUUCAACUAAAUCUAAAAAGAAUAAAAAUCUAGAGACGCAUGUUUCUGGUGAACGGAUUCGUUACUACGGUGACGAUGAUAAAUAUUCUUUGCAGCAACUCUUCCAGCGUGAAAAAGGACGCUCCGUGGAUGACGAUAAUGCCGCAUUUGUUAAAAUUGCAUCGAAGAACGUGGAUAUGAAUGAUAUAUUUGAAGAACAAAUUGCACGAGUGGAUAUAGAUAGUAGGCAAGAUGAUAGAGAUAAAGCAAAGGCGAUUAAAGAACAUAAAAGAAUAUCAAAAAGUUUAGAAGGAUGUUCGUGGUGUAUAGAAUCCAAAAAUAUGAUCAAGCAUAUGAUUAUUACAAUGGAUUCACACAUUUGUCUUAGUCUUCCAACCAGAGUAUCAUUAGUAAUUGGGCAUUGUGUAUUAACACCUUUACAACAUAUAUCAUGCCAAUUACAAUUAGACGAAGACAUUUGGGAAAAAAUGAAGAUUUUCAAGGAAACUUUGAUUAAGAUGUUUAUGGAUUCUAAACAAACUCCAAUAUUUUUUGAAGUAUAUAAAAAUCGUCAUAAAUUCCCACACAUGCAAUUGGAAUGUGUUCCAUUAUCUGAUGAAAGUGCAGAUUUAGCACCUAUGUACUUCAAAAAAGCUCUAUUAGAAUGCGAAACCGAAUGGGCUAUCAACAAAAAAAUUGUUGAUUUAAAAAACAAAGAUUUACGUAGAGCGAUACCAAAUGGAUUACCAUAUUUUAUGGUACAAUUUGGAAAUAAUGGUGGAUAUGCGCAUGUAAUUGAAGAUGAACGUAUGUUCCCGACCAAUUUUGCAGAGGAAAUAAUUGGUGGAAUAUUAGAUUUAGAUCAUAAUUUAUGGAGGAAACCAAAAAGGGAGACCUUUGAACAACAAAGAGAGAAAGUUUUAAAUUUUAAGAAAAUAUGGGACAAAUAUAAACAUUAAUAAAUUGUAAAUAAAUUUUAUAAGAAUUUAAUUAUGCUAAGGAGUAAGUGAAAGUUAAAUCAGCUGUACCUGGAUUUAGUAAGGGAUCAUGCAAUUGGUGCUUUCGAAAAGCACGGAAGGUAUCUGUUUUAUCACCAAUAUGACCAUAAUCAAUGAUUAAGGCAAAACCUCCACAUUCCAUUAAAAAUGAUGAUAUAUAAUCUAUUACAACUAUACUUUGUGGGCUUAUUUCAACGUGAUCUCUCGAUUCAUCUUUCUGAAAAAUAAUCAGUUUUAUAUAAUAUGUUCAAUUAAAUAAAUAGUUAAAGUAUAUAAAUUAAAA